GACCACGCCCCGCCGCGGCCAGCGUCGCCCGCCUAGAGCCCGGUGGCCAGCGGCCGGCCGCGGGGCCGUUUUGUCCUGAGGGCCAGAGAAAGGGAGAAGGGGGUGGGGGGACAGCCACGUGGCCGCAGGAGGAUUUACAACAUUUUCUUUCGCCAUCGACGAUAUCGCAAAAUGUGUGAGAGUGGCGGCGGCGCAGCCCGGACCGGAGCGUGAGGGCGCGGGCCAGGUAAGCAGCCCCGGCAGUUUCGCCGCGGACGGGACCCGGGGGCGACCGCGGGCACCGGCCACGCGCAGCGGCUCCGCGGGAUCUCGGCCGGGUCCGCGCUCUGAAGGGUCUCGAGAGCCAUGGGUGGUGCAGGUGGGGCCCUCGAGCCGAAGCAUCUCCGGUGACCCGGGGUUGCCGAGGAGGUGUAGACCAGCACAAGUGGUCCGGCGGGGGCGCCUCCGAAUCCGGGGGUGGUCAAGACGGAUCCCCAAGGCUGAGGUCGGCAGUCCCGGGGACUCGCAGCUGCUGAGCCUGUGGAGACGCGGACCCGUGACCGAGGCACCCUCCAGCAACCCAGGGGCAGGGGAAAGAAGACAGCCUACCACAGAAUCUGCCACAGGACAAGGGCAGAAGGUUUUCCCUUGGCUGGAGGAGAGACCCGCAUUUCUAGGGAGGUUCUUGGGGAGGCUCAGCUUCAUCUCCCAUCACCUUCUGUCCCUUUGCCCCCGUUCCUACUCCCACAUCCUCCUGUCCUGGGAUUUCUCCCACUACGGGGCCUUUUGCACAUGUCGUUUAUUCUUUUGAUCAACAUAUAGUCACAAAUAGGCAGUGUAGACCACCACAGGUGGUCUGGCACACCUAAGUGCCGGCCACGCGCAAUUCAGCAGUGACUAAGACAGGCCUGGCCUCUGCCCUCAUAGGGCUUCCAGACAAAGGCAGGGACAUAGAUGAACAACAGAAAGUCAAGAAGGGGACCAGGGUAUGGGGAGGGGAGGUGACCUUAGGAGGAUAUCAGAGAGGGACUCUGCAAGGAUGACAGUGAGUCAGAACAAUUAAUACUCCUCAUCCUUUGGGCCCCAGCACCAAUGUCACCUCCUCCUGGAAGCCUUCCCUGACCUCCCUGACUUGAUGAUUCCACCAUGAUGGACUCUCAUAGCAUGGGACCACCCCCUCCAUGGACACUUUUAUGCCAUUGAUUGGUCAAUGUUUAGCUCCCUCUAUUGAUUGUAAGUGCCAUGAAGGCAGGACCCAAAUCUCUUCUGGGUGGAUGGUAGGCAGAGCGAAUAAAAGAUGGGUAGGAUUUCCCCAGAAAAACAGGAGCGGCUCAGCCAGGUCAGGCAUCCAGAUGGCAGAAACUUUUCUUUCCUCUUCCCUGGCCCAAGUCCUGGGCUCCACACCCCAUUUGCCGUUCACAGAAACAAAGUAAAAGAAACCAGCAGGCCUUGUGAAGGGAGAGGCCUGGCACAGCCUGGCCACUGCAGUGCCAAGGCUGGCCAGCUGCAAGGAGAGUGGACCUGCCAGGGGAGGCCCAGGGCAGGCUCUAGUCCUGUUCCCUGAGCUCAGACUGGCCUGUCUCCUCUUUCUUCUGUCCCAUCUCUUGGAGACUUGUCUCCUUCAAGUGCUGCUCUGGGAGAAGGUGGUGGCCGACGGGGCCCCCAGAGUAGCUGGGAUAUAGGACCACAGUGACUGCCCGGCCUCCCCCAUCCUGGUGGGCAGGGCCCUGG
rnacentral:lncRNA from 10 species